CACUCCUGCGGGAGGCAGCAGUGGGGAAUUUUGGACAAUGGGCGAAAGCCUGAUCCAGCCAUGCCGCGUGCAGGAUGAAGGCCUUCGGGUUGUAAACUGCUUUUGUACGGAACGAAACGGCCUUUUCUAAUAAAGAGGGCUAAUGACGGUACCGUAAGAAUAAGCACCGGCUAACUACGUGCCAGCAGCCGCGGUAAUACGUAGGGUGCAAGCGUUAAUCGGAAUUACUGGGCGUAAAGCGUGCGCAGGCGGUUAUGUAAGACAGUUGUGAAAUCCCCGGGCUCAACCUGGGAACUGCAUCUGUGACUGCAUAGCUAGAGUACGGUAGAGGGGGAUGGAAUUCCGCGUGUAGCAGUGAAAUGCGUAGAUAUGCGGAGGAACACCGAUGGCGAAGGCAAUCCCCUGGACCUGUACUGACGCUCAUGCACGAAAGCGUGGGGAGCAAACAGGAUUAGAUACCCCGGUAGUCC
rnacentral:rRNA from 1 species